GCACAGCAGCAAACAGAUCUAAGAGACAGUCUAAAAGGUAAAGUUACUGGAACACAUCAGAUACGAACAAAGACACAAAACCCAUUUUGAUUUUUUUUCCUUUGUGGAAUCUGACAAAGUCCCCAAAUAUAAAACACGACGCAGAUUGAUUUGAACCCAUGCGAUUAAAUCAUGCGCACGCUUCGAACUGCUCAAAACCCGUCCAACACCACAAAGAUUAAACCCAAAAAAACAAACAAGAAGAGAGGGAAAAGCCCAGAAUAGGUUUUCUGGAGAGACUGGAGAAGCAAGAAAUAGAGGGAAAACAGGGACGAGAGGAAGAGAGGAAGUGUUGGUAGUUGUUUUAGACCUUU
rnacentral:misc_RNA from 1 species